rnacentral:lncRNA from 1 species
CUCACACAUCCAAAUGAGGAUUGCAGCCGUAUAAGGGGCACUGUGAAGGCUGACUGUGAUUCUGGGAGCCCGUCACCUCGCAAAACAUUUUUGGAACUCCUGCUUCGAAUCCGUGCCAGAGUUGCAGUGGUGAAUCUUCACACCUCCUGGGAGGAGUUAUUUUUGGAAACAGUGAAAAUCUGUCUGGUCACAUUUGAUUCGAGAUUCAACAGGGAAACUUUGGACUUUGGUUGUUAAGAAACCCAUCUAGGCAGGGACCGAUAAUGGAAUUAAGGGGCAUGGAGAAGAGUGAGGCAGAUGGUCCAUGCUUCUGGACAGCUCUGAGGACCUAGAUGGUGGGUACAGGGGUC